GGCCCCGUGGUGUAGCGGUUAACAUGUCUCCCUGUCACGGAGAAGACCACCGGUUCGAUUCCGGUCGGGGUCG
rnacentral:tRNA from 1 species